rnacentral:tRNA from 1 species
GCGGGGGUUGCCGAGCCUGGCCAAAGGCGGCGGGCUUAAGACCCGCUCCCGGAGGGGUUCGUGGGUUCGAAUCCCACCCCCCGCACCA